rnacentral:sRNA from 1 species
UGUAAUAAUCUCACCAAUAGAUAAACUGCGAGCCUGCUCGCAGGCGGAGCGGUUUAUCUAUUGAGGGAGUAAACGGAAAUGAGCAAGUAAGCCGUUCGCCUUUUGAACGGCUGGAUUGCGAAUUUCCGUCAGAAUUUUCGGAAGUGCUCCGCACUCUCGAAAAUUCUGUUAUUGCA